rnacentral:tmRNA from 1 species
GGGGGCGAAACGGGUUCGACGGGGAUCAUGAAACUUAAGUGGCAUGCCGAGGUUCCUGCCUGCUCGUAAAACAGGUGGGAUUUAAAGCAAACGCUGACGACUAUGCGUACGCUGUAGCCGCGUAGGCGGCUACCGUCCUGCCAGUUCGGGUCCGCGGGGCUGGCAAAGGGCGUCGACUAGCGGAACCGCCCGCUGCAGGUGCCUAUGGGUAGCGGGUCAAAUAAGUAGGCUGGCUCGAGGGGAAUCCUUCCCGAGGGGAGUCC